GCGAACGUUGGCGGCGUGCCUAACACAUGCAAGUCGUACGGCAGCGGGGCUCCUUCGGGAGCCGCCGGCGAGUGGCGAACGGGUGAGUAACGCGUGAGCAACCUACCCCGAGGAGGGGGAUAACCCGGGGAAACCCGGGCUAAUACCCCAUAAGCGCACGGCCCGCAUGGGCUGUGUGAAAAGGGUGGCCUCUGCUUUGCAUGCUGCCGCCUCGGGAUGGGCUCGCGUCCCAUCAGGUAGUUGGUGGGGUAACGGCCUACCAAGCCUACGACGGGUAGCCGGCCUGAGAGGGUGGUCGGCCACACCGGGACUGAGACACGGCCCGGACUCCUACGGGAGGCAGCAGUGGGGAAUAUUGGGCAAUGGCCGAAAGGCUGACCCAGCGACGCCGAGUGGAGGAAGAAGCCCUUCGGGGUGUAAACACCUGUCAGGGGGGAAGAUAAUGACGGUACCCCCAGAGGAAGGGACGGCUAACUACGUGCCAGCAGCCGCGGUAAUACGUA
rnacentral:rRNA from 1 species